UCCAGGCUUGUGGACUUGUGGACCUCAUUUUCAGGGACAGAUAUCCCUCUCCUGUCUUUCUUGGCCUCUCCCUCAACUCCCAGUUGGGAUAAAGUUGGUCACCAAUUUCCUCUGUCUCUGUGUUAGUCCAUUUGCAGUGCUAUAAAGGAACACCUGAGAAGGCAGGAGCAAUACUAUGAGAGGGCAUCUUAAUUUUUAUGCAG
rnacentral:lncRNA from 1 species